rnacentral:lncRNA from 1 species
AUGAGCCUGUGCAUCCUUACUGCAGAGGACUUGUUUUCAGGCACCAAAUUCCCUUUUGCCAUCGAGAAUGGAGGUUUGAAGAGCAGCACCCAAGGGAUGGUUUGCUUCUUUGCCUAUCUAUGCAUUACAAUCAAAGAAUCCCAAAUAUGAGGUAUCAACAGCAGCCCUAUGGGCCUUGGGGAAAGGGUGCAACCUCAUCUUGUUUGGAUGCUAUUUCCCGCUGGCAGCUCCCACUGUGACGCCCAGAGUGACUCCUAGAGCCUGGAGCCAGCAGGAAUUGCCCUGAGAAAGGGAGCAGAUCGAUGUUGCAGCUCUUACCAAUGCCAGGCCAGUGAAAAACAGAGUCGAGGCACUGUAGGGUAUCACUACACAUGGACAGCACAUAGCAGAGAGGCAUUUAACCCCAUGCAUACUAAAAUACAUGAUUUAAUAAAAGAAAAAGUACAGGUGUGAAUCCCCA